UUGAACGCUGGCGGCAGGCCUAACACAUGCAAGUCGAACGGUAGCACAGAGAGCUUGCUCUCGGGUGACGAGUGGCGGACGGGUGAGUAAUGUCUGGGAAACUGCCUGAUGGAGGGGGAUAACUACUGGAAACGGUAGCUAAUACCGCAUAACGUCGCAAGACCAAAGAGGGGGACCUUCGGGCCUCUUGCCAUCAGAUGUGCCCAGAUGGGAUUAGCUAGUAGGUGGGGUAACGGCUCACCUAGGCGACGAUCCCUAGCUGGUCUGAGAGGAUGACCAGCCACACUGGAACUGAGACACGGUCCAGACUCCUACGGGAGGCAGCAGUGGGGAAUAUUGCACAAUGGGCGCAAGCCUGAUGCAGCCAUGCCGCGUGUAUGAAGAAGGCCUUCGGGUUGUAAAGUACUUUCAGCGGGGAGGAAGGUGUUGUGGUUAAUAACCGCAGCAAUUGACGUUACCCGCAGAAGAAGCACCGGCUAACUCCGUGCCAGCAGCCGCGGUAAUACGGAGGGUGCAAGCGUUAAUCGGAAUUACUGGGCGUAAAGCGCACGCAGGCGGUCUGUCAAGUCGGAUGUGAAAUCCCCGGGCUCAACCUGGGAACUGCAUUC
rnacentral:rRNA from 2 species